rnacentral:rRNA from 1 species
UACGUAGGUCCCGAGCGUUGUCCGGAUUUAUUGGGGCGUAAAGCGUGCGCAGGCGGUUCGGAAAGAAAGAUGUGAAAUCCCAGAGCUUAACUUUGGAACUGCAUUUUUAACUACCGAGAUAGAGUGUGUCAGAGGGAGGUGGAAUUCCGCGUGUAGCAGUGAAUGCGUAGAUAUGCGGAGGAACACCGAUGGCGAAGGCAGCCUCCUGGGAUAACACUGACGCUCAUGCACGAAAGCGUGGGGAGCAGACAGGAUUAGAUACCCCUGGUAGUCCACGCCCUAAACUGAUGUCAACUAGCUGUUCGGGGCCUUCGGGCCUUGGUAGCGCAGCUAACGCGUGAAGUUGACCGCCUGGGGAGUACGGUCGCAAGAUUAAAACUCAAAGGAAUGACG